rnacentral:rRNA from 1 species
UACAGAGGGGGCAAGCGUUGUUCGGAAUUACUGGGCGUAAAGGGCGCGUAGGCGGCACAGCAAGUCGGGAGUGAAAGCCCGGGGCUCAACCCCGGAAUGGCUUUCGAAACUGCUGAGCUAGAGUACAGAAGGGGCAACCGGAAUUCCCAGUGUAGCGGUGAAAUGCGUAGAUAUCGGGAGGAACACCAGUGGCGAAGGCGACUACCUGGCCUGUUCUUGACGCUGAGGCGCGAAAGCUAGGGGAGCAAAGCGGGGAUUAAGAAACCCCGAUGUA